AAGAUAGCAGGAAAGGAGAUUCUUUUUUGGUGAGAGGACGCAUUGGAGAAGACGCAUUGGAUGAUUGGGAGGGAUUCUAAAAAUUUGUCGGGGAAAAGAACAGAGGAAACGAAAAGAGCAAUUGCAACCAAGGCUGUCCAGGUGGAGUCAAUGGAAAGGUGUGCAGAAGAUGCUCAUGGAAAGGGACCACACUGUUUUUUUUUUGGAAAGGUGGAUUCGGGGCUGGAAGCGGAAUAUAAAUAAUGGAUGAAUGAGGAUGGUUUUUUAGGGAAGAUACAAAGAAGGAUCAAAAUUUUUUUUAGAAAGGAAGCAGAAUGACACACGGGUUGAUGGAUGAAUGAAGUCGGUUGUAGGGAAAAUUACCAAAGUAGUUUUGGCAAGUGAAGAAGAAAAAAAAAGAAAAGCACGUAUAGGGAAAAGGAAAGGGGAAGGCCAUUAGAGAUAGAAAAAUUUUGAUAGCUGGCUGGUGAGGGAAGAGAGAGGAAUUCAGAAAA